UGGGGAAUUUUGGACAAUGGGGGCAACCCUGAUCCAGCCAUGCCGCGUGCGGGAAGAAGGCCUUCGGGUUGUAAACCGCUUUUGUCAGGGAAGAAAUCCUCUGGGUUAACACCUCGGGGGGAUGACGGUACCUGGAGAAUAAGCACCGGCUAACUACGUGCCAGCAGCCGCGGUAAUACGUAGGGUGCAAGCGUUAAUCGGAAUUACUGGGCGUAAAGCGUGCGCAGGCGGUUGUGCAAGACAGAUGUGAAAUCCCCGGGCUUAACCUGGGAACUGCAUUUGUGACUGCACGGCUGGAGUGCGGCAGAGGGGGAUGGAAUUCCGCGUGUAGCAGUGAAAUGCGUAGAUAUGCGGAGGCACACCGAUGGCGAAGGCAAUCCCCUGGGCCUGCACUGACGCUCA
rnacentral:rRNA from 1 species